GGUUCCUUGAAAGUAGUCCAGAGAGGCUAGUAAGGUUAUAUAAAUAGAUUUAAUUUGCAUACAUAUAACCUCUAACUGGAUUAGUUAGAGGUUUUUUUAA
rfam:[Clostridium] sordellii strain JGS6382 genome assembly, chromosome: 1